ensembl:lncRNA
GUCUAUCAUGGAUAUUUAACUGCAGUUCUGUGAGUAUCCCAACAUCACCAUGAAGAUGAACUGCGAACUCAUCAAACGGAUGGCAUCAAGGUAAGUCUGUUGGCUGUGUUUUAAUGAAGACCAUCGCUGGACUUCAGGAUCUUCCUCCGUUCAGCUCAAGGUGAGGCGCUGGUUCUGUUUUUUUUUUGGUCGGUUCCGGCUGGAAUGUUCGGAUUCCAGUCGGACGGUUUGUGCUUCCCGCCGUGGAAGGUUCUGAGUGUGGUCAGUUGAUUUAGUCUCAAUGGUUAGCAUAGAACGUUGUAGUCUUGACAACCAUAAGAACCCUACGGGCAGUUAGUUGGAUGCGAGUCCCCUGAGGGAAUCUGGCGGAACGUUCUGGUUUGUGUUUGCGUAACAUAGAGCCGUUGCCAACGGAAACUAUUUUCGGUGGUCCAUUGGGAAUCGUUGCCCCUUAUCUUCAACAACUUUUAAGUUUGAUAUUAAAUACAUACUGACACGUACAUCUUACAAUAUGUUGAUAAUAUCCGAUGGUUGCGCCGUACUUUUAACCACGUUGACGGGACUCUCGCUGCGUACAGAAGAGCGUUCUACUUGCGGGCCCAUUUCUGACCAUCGGUGAAGGCUGAAAAUAAUUUCAAGAAGGAAGACAAUUUGGCAUUUCUUCAAGGGAACCCAGCACCUGAAUAUGGCUGAGUAUAUUUGAUUUCAUAUCGAUAAUGCUUAGUGUUCUUUGGUACUUCAGCUUUUGUACGUUCUAAAUAUCUGGUGGCAUUAAUUGCCACAGAAGUUAAACCCUACCAAAUGGAAUGACGUUAAACAACGACUUUGGUGCUGAGUUACCAACUGGAUAAUAUCAAAGCUAAAAUAAUGGCCGUCUUUCCCACAUGUUACAGUAGAAGAAACUCGAACUGUACAAGGUUAAAAAGGUAACGUGUGGUUUGUCCUCACCCAGAGCCAGACCUCCACCUCCUCACCCAGAGCCAGACCUCCACCUCCUCACCCAGAGCCAGACCUCCACCUCCUCACACCCAGAGCCAGACCUCCACCUCCUCACCCAGAGCCAGACCUCCACCUCCUCAACCAGAGCCAGACCUCCACCUCCUGUCAGAAGUCCUCCAGAACAGACCAGGAAUCCAUGGCUGAAGGAGCUGAUGGAGGAGCCGUGCUGAAGGCCCUGCCUGGAGGAGGAGCUGAUGGAGGCCCUGCCUG